rnacentral:tRNA from 1 species
AUUAUUUUGGCAGAUUAGUGUAAUGAAUUUAGAAUUCAUAAAUGUAAAUUUUAUUUUAC